rnacentral:rRNA from 1 species
AUUGAACGCUGGCGGCAGGCCUAACACAUGCAAGUCGAGCGAGCGGCGGACGGGUGAGUAAUGUAUGGGGAUCUGCCCGAUCGAGGGGGAUAACUACUGGAAACGGUGGCUAAUACCGCAUACUAUCAGAUGAACCCAGAUGGGAUUAGCUGGUCGGUGGGGUAAAGGCUCACCUAGGCGACGAUCUCUAGCUGGUCUGAGAGGAUGAGGAGCCACACUGGAACUGAGACACGGCCCGGACUCCUACGGGAGGCAGCAGUGGGGAAUAUUGCACAAUGGGCGCAAGCCUGAUGCAGCCAUGCCGCGUGUAUGAAGAAGGCCUUAGGGUUGUAAAGUACUUUCAGCGGGGAGGCGUUACCCGCAGAGGAAGCACCGGCUAACUCCGUGCCAGCAGCCGCGGUAAUAC